rnacentral:rRNA from 1 species
AAAAAAUAGUAAGGGCAGAUGGUGGAUGCCUUGGUAAUACGGAGCCGAUGAAGGACGCAGUAAGCCUGCGAUAGUCUUCGGUGAGGAGCAAACAUCCUGAGACCCGGAGAUAUCCGAAUGGGGAAAUCCCGAUACACCAGAAGUGUAUUAUUCAUGCUUAAAUAAAAUAGAGCAUGAAGGGGAACUAAGUGAACCGAAACAUCCAAGUAACUUAAGGAAAAGAAAGAAAAUUCGAUUCCCUGAGUAGCGGCGAGCGAAAGGGGAACAGCCUAAACCUCUUAAGUGUUAAAGCUUACAGGCCUUGCUUAAGAGGGGUUGUAGGUCUAAAUGUUUCUUAGCUGUAAAUAAGAAGGGAAGUCAAAAAUAAUGCGGAUAGCUGAAUAUCAUGGAAAUGGUAGCCAUAGAAGGUGAAAGCCCUGUAAGCGAAAUCCACAUUACUUCCUAUUUUAGACCUGAGUAUCACGGGACACGUGGAAUCCUGUGAGAAGCUAGGAGGACCAUCUCCUAAGGCUAAAUACUCCGUUGACCGAUAGUGAACAAAGUACCGUGAGGGAAAGGUGAAAAGAACCCCGGGAGGGGAGUGAAAUAGAAUCUGAAACCAUGUUGCCUACAAUCGGUCAGAGCACUAUAUCUAAUGACCCUUAAAAGUUGUUAGAUAGUGUCAUGGCUUGCCUAUUGAAGAAUGAGCCGGGGAGUUUUAUGAAGGAGCAAGGUUAAGAGGUAACCCUCGAAGCCAUAGCGAAAGCGAGUCUGAAUAGGGCGAAUUAGUUUCUUCAUAAAGACCCGAAACCGGGUGAUCUACUUAUGGCCAGGGUGAAGCGAACCUAAGAAUUCGUGGAGGCCCGAACGCAUCGGGGGUGAAAACUCGUGCGAUGAGCUGUGAGUAGGGGAGAAAUUCCAACCGAACCCGGAGAUAGCUGGUUCUCUCCGAAAUGCAUUUAGGUGCAGCUUAAAGAGUUCCUUUCUGGAGGUAGAGCACUGAAAGGGCUAGGAGUCCUACCAGACUACCAAACCCUAUCAAACUCCGAAUGCCAGAAAGUUAAUAUCUUUAAAGUGAGUCUACGGGUAAUAAGAUCCGUGGUCGAAAGGGAAACAACCCAGACCGCCUGCUAAGGUCCCUAAUUGUAAACUAAGUGUAUAUUAAGGAAGUGAGUCUGCCCAGACAGCCAGGAUGUUGGCUCAGAAGCAGCCAUCAUUUAAAGAGUGCGUAACAGCUCACUGGUCGAUGCGGUCUUGCGCCGUAAAUGUUCGGGACUAAGUUUACAACCGAAGCAGCGGGUAGGAAAUAUCAAAAACAAUUUUAGUGUUUCACUUUAAUUACCAAAAUAUUUCCUGCGGUAGGAGAGCGUUCUUGUUUCAGAGAAGGUAUACCGUAAGGAGUGCUGGAGAAACAAGAAGUGAGAAUCCCGGCUUAAGUAGCGAAAAGUAGAGUGAGAAUCUCUGCCACCGAAAGUCUAAGGUUUCCUGGGGAAGGUUCGUCCACCCAGGGUUAGUCGGUCCUAAGUUGAGGCCGAAAGGCGUAGAUGAUGGCUAACGGGUUAAUAUUCCCGUACUAAGUUUUAUCGACAAAGAGGUGAUGGAGGGACGGAGAAGGAUAGGUCAAGCAGGGUUUUGGUUGUCCCUGCCCAAGCAUUAAAGGGUGAUUAAGCAGGCAAAUCCACUUAAUCAUUAGCCCGAUGUGUGAUGGGGAGCCGUAAGGUGAAGUGACUGACUCCAUGCUCCCAAGAAAAUCUUCUAACCAGAUAAAACUUAACCGUACCUCAAUCCAACACAGGUAGACAGGGAGAUAGACUCCUAAGGUGAGCGAAAGAACUCUCGUUAAGGAACUCGGCAAAAAGGCCCCGUAACUUUGGGAGAAGGGGUGCCUAACCAUUACUAAUUAAGCAAUUAGUUAGUAAUGUAGUAGGUUGCAAGAAAUAGGCUCGGGGGACUGUUUAACAAAAACACAGGUUUCUGCUAAGCCGUAAGGCGAUGUAUAGGAGCCGACGCUUGCCCAGUGCUGGAAGGUUACGAGGAGAGGUUAGGGAGGAGCAAUCUUCCCGAAGCUUUGAAUCUAAGCCCCAGUGAACGGCGGCCGUAACUAUAACGGUCCUAAGGUAGCGAAAUACCUUGUCGGGUAAGUUCCGACGCGCAUGAAAAGCGUAACUACCUGAGCGCUGUCUCGACGAGAGAUUCGGUGAAAUAGCAGU